rnacentral:misc_RNA from 1 species
AAAAGAUUGUCUCAUUUUAUUGCAAUAUAAAAGGUAAAAGGAUAAAAUUAUCAGAUUAACUACGCAGAGGACAAGCAAAUGAAAAGGGCUUAUUCUUCCAAAAAAGCACGUAGAUUUUACGUUCAAUCAGUCAUCAUUCUCCAAUAAAACAGAACACAAACUGGUUGGCAGAAUAAUCUGCGAACAAUGAAAUUAAAAUCCACGACACAUUAUUACCAGGAAUUUGAGGAAUGACUGAAAGCACCAAACCUCAGUUUGCUGCUUCUAUCAGUUUCUGCAUACAGGCAAUAAAGUUUCAGAGAAAAGCUAUAAUGUCACAAUAUCAACAACAUCACUGAAAACAUUGACCAAUUGGAUUAGCUGGGCUGCAACUUAUAUGCUAAGGUUGAUAAGAGAGCCUGUUAGGCAGACAUUUUAUUUUCCAAUAACAAUCCCUCUGCACCAUAUUCUACUCAUAUGUUUGGAAAUGCCCUUAUUGUGGUGUCGCUAAAUGAUUAAUGUGAGAUUACAAACUCUUUUUUUUUUUUUAAGAAUUGCAGUUGUAAAAGAACUAAAGGUAGUAAGCUAUUUCCUAUAUUUCAUUAACGUGAAAAUCGUUGCUCCUUUGUUUGGUGAGCAUAUGGAAAAGCAGUAACAUUUUCCUAUGUUAUGCAUUGAAAUAAAAUUUUUUCCAUCACAAUAAAUUCAGUUAUAAUUAAGAGCCAAGACAGAAGUGGGGUCAAAAAAUUAUGAAGUAAGAACAACCACAACAUGAGAUCUAACGUGUGCCAAAUGGGAUAUAAGAAGCACAGGGCACCCCAUCCCACCAGCCAAAAUGACAAGAUUCUAAAUAUCAAAUGACAAGGCCCGACGAUACAAGAAAGUAUAUGACUACCACAGUAAAAAUACCUCUUCCUUCUUGCCUUUGCCUCUCGUAAAGAACUUGUAUCCACCAAAGAAGAGUAGACCCCAGCCAGAUAAAGAGACAAUUACAAAGUGCUCUUCCUUCCACUUAGAUGGGUUCAUUGGGUCUUGCCAAAAAUUAACCUUUGGAGGUCCAUGAUGAUCAGCUGCGCCGGCUAGGCCACGGCGGUGGAUGAGGGAGGCAGCUUGAGCGGAUGUUUUGGGAGAAGAAAGUCGGGAGAGAGUAGCGGCUUGACGAGCUGCAGCCACUGCUAAAGUAGCCAUAAGUAGUGAUAAUUAGAGAGCUUUUGCAGAGGCAGCUGACGGCGAUGGCAAUGAAGAGACGGAUCUGGUAAUGGAAAAUGUGAACAGUGGAAGCCAGCGACGUCGUAUAAAUUCCUCCGUGUCAAAUAGCGUUAGACUAAAAAGCAGAGACAUGGGCUUUUGUUUUCUUCUUUUAUAUCUCUCCUUUGUUUUUAAUUUUAUAAGAUUUAUUUAUUGACUUUAAUUAAUAAUAAAAUUACAGUCAAAAUAAAAAGUAAGAAAAAAUGAAAAUUAUCCCAUCCAAGAAACUUAAAAUUGAGUUUUUU